GCCAGCGUGGCGUAAUGGUUUGAGUGCUGAACUACGACUACGGAGACCAGGGUUCGAAUCCCCCGCUCGGCCG